rnacentral:misc_RNA from 1 species
GAUGAAGAACGUAGCGAAAUGCGAUAAGUAAUGUGAAUUGCAGAAUUCAGUGAAUCAUCGAAUCUUUGAACGCACAUUGCGCCCGCCAGUAUUCUGGUGGGCAUGCCUGUUCGAGCGUCAUUACAACCCUCAGGCCCCCGGGCCUGGCGUUGGGGAUCGGCGGAAGCCCCCUGCGGGCACAACGCCGUCCCCCAAAUACAGUGGCGGUCCCGCCGCAGCUUCCAUUGCGUAGUAGCUAACACCUCGCAACUGGAGAGCGGCGCGGCCACGCCGUAAAACACCCAACUUCUGAAUGUUGACCUCGAAUCAGGUAGGAAUACCCGCUGAACUUAAGCAUAUCAAUAGCGGAGGA